GUCUUCCUCGACGGUAUGCUUCUGUUGCAUCGUACUUCUUUACAUCGCCAUACUGGUAUUUCAAAGAGCUAUGGAAUGUAAAGAAGUAUGUAGUUACUGAAGCAAAACCUUCGCACCGUUCG
rnacentral:pre_miRNA from 9 species